rnacentral:lncRNA from 1 species
UUUUUGAGUGAGGCGCUUUUUUUUAUCCUUCUUUUUUGUCCUGUUUCUUGUCUGUGGUGUCUAUGUACAGUAACCAUGGAAACCCGAAUAUAUAGCGACACUGACUGACUUGACAAUAAAUAAACACUGGUAUGUACAAGGAAGACGUGACAGAGGGGGUCCACGUUUAGGCUUAUAGAGGGUGACAGAGGGGGUCCACGUUUAGGCUUAUAGAGGGUGACAGAGGGGGUCCACGUUUAGGCUUAUAGAGGGUGACAGAGGGGGUCCACGUUUAGGCUUAUAGAGGGGUGACAGAGGGGGGUCCACGUUUAGGCUUAUAGAGGGUGACAGAGGGGGUCCACGUUUAGGCUUAUAGAGGUGACAGAGGGGGUCCACGUUUAGGCUUAUAGAGGGGGUCCAUGUUUAGGCUUAUAGAGGGUGACAGAGGGGGUCCAUGUUUAGAA